rnacentral:pre_miRNA from 1 species
AAUAAGUUUAUUUAUGGGUUUGUGUCUAACAUUAGACUUUACUUCUUGUUUGAAAUUUUUUUAUAAUUAAUAUUUUUGUCGUUAUUACUUAUUAGAUAACAAAACAUAAAUAGUAUUUUAUACAUGACUUUUUUUUAAUUUUUGCAUAAAAUUUUCAAAUAAGUCAGAUGGACAAACGUUGGACACAGAAACUCACAAAUGAAUUUAUU